AAAGUUGUAAGUUAUAUAAAGACUAUUUGUUUUCAAAACAAAAAGAGGUGUAUUUAAACCCUGACUUUG
rnacentral:tRNA from 1 species